CGCGCGCACCCCCACCCCCCUCCCUCUGCAUUUUGCUAGCAACACCCGACGCACCCAUCUAGGGUUUUGUGGGCCCACACCGCCGGGCGCCACUCCGCAGCGAGGGUCAGCCAAACCCCGACGCCCCCAGGUACGGCGCUACUCCCAGGUGCCGGCGCUGCCUCCAGUUAAGGCCUCUGGAACCCAACCUGUAAAGGCAAUUUGUUGGAUCUGCACAUCACCAGACCAAAGAUUCCAGAUUUGCAAUCCUUUAGUCAAUUAGCUGAUUACACACAAGGAAGAGGCUUGAAUUAUCCUUGUGGUUGAAGAUGGUGAGUAGCUUUCGACACAGCAAUGUUCAGUCAAAAAGGAACACUUCCCAUACGAACUCAUGUGAUGGUGCCUCCCAAAGGACAACAGCUGCUGGUAAUCCCUCCCAAAGGAUUAAAGAUUCAGGACCUAUGAGUUCUAUACAUGGAGAUAAGCAAAGAGGGAGGAAGCAGGGGUGCCUAACAAAGUUAAAAAUGCCAGUCCGUGGCCGAAAGGUGCUCCUCGAACCACUUGGUGACAUGCAAUUUGAAUAUCUCGAUCGUCGUGGGUCGAGCUACAAGUACACUUCUCAACUUGUGGUCAUUAUCAAGAGAGAAUACCCGGGCUUGGUGCAGGACAAGAAUGAGCAUGGUGUAGUCCUUAGGACCCGUCCGGCACUAGAGUGGGCUGAUUACUUCCUAUCGAGAAAGGAUGAUUUGGGACAAACAGCAGGCGACCGUGUGCUUUCUGAAUUUUGGCGUUUAUUUGAGGUCAAUAUAGGAAAAGAGGAAGAAGCUGACCGUGUUCUUGACACCUAUCUAAAGAAAAGGGUGAAGGACAUGAUGUACCAGGCUCGAGUUGAUGCUGUCAAGGUGUACUACAUGAAGAAGUUGAACCAGAAAAUAGAUGACAAGCUGGCACGGCCAAUAGAGCUUAAUUAUGAAGAAUAUUUGGAUGGCAAACAGAAAUGGUGUAGUAAUGCUGUAUGGCCUAAGCUUUGUCGUUAUUGGUGCUCAGAAAAUUUCCUCAAAAAACGAAAGAGAGGCCAGGAAUCUCGCUUUUCUUCAGAUGAUAUUGCUCAAAAUCAAUCAUGGAGGAUCCAGACCAUUUGGGGAGACAAGGCAAAUUCUGGGUGAAAAAUUUGGCCCUGAGUUUACAUUAAAAAUAUGGAUCAAAUGGCCGAACUGCUCCAAUGGUUAGCCGCAAAGCACAAAAGAUUGUGGAUGACUAUGCUGCAAAGUCUACAGAAAAUUCUGGACAGCAAGAGUUGGAUGGAAAAGUAUUGUAUAAAAUUUCUGGUGGAAUGCGCCAUGGACGCGUAGCCAUUGCAAAUGGUGCUGUUAAAAAGGCUGAUGUUCUGUCUGCUGCUAAGGAAAAAUCUGUUGCAUCAUCAAAUUCAGCAUCUUAUCGAAGCAUGGCUGAAGAAAAUCGACAAUUGCAGCAAGCAAAUAGGGGCUUACAUGAGCGUGUUGACCAGUUAGGCGAACUAACCAAUGACUUGAUAUUGAAUCUUUACAGUGAUUUAGGAAAGGAAGUUCCAGCAGGCCUAAAGAGUCGCCUUGCAGCAUUAACAGCAAAUGCAAGUAUGAUAGUGACUUGAUACUUGUACAUAUUAAUCCACAGUGAAUUAUUGUGAAGGAGGUCCAGCUGUUUUCUUACAGAUUGCUAUCCAAAUAUCUCCAUGGCUUAUCGGAUUCUCUUAACUAUUCCAGUGACAGUAGCAUAAGCCGGAAGAAGUUUAUCCAAAUUGAAACUGUUGAGAAAUUGUUUAAGAUCAACUAUGUUACAAGAAAGAUUGAAUGGCUUGGCUAUGUGUAGCAUUGAAAAGGAUAUUUUGGAUGACACUUAAUCUGGAUACAGUUCUUGUAGAUUUUGCAUCAAGAAAUGUCCGAAGUCAGUUUUUUACAAGGAACUGAAGUAUUAUAUUUUUAUUUGAGAUGCCCUUCAUGGAGAAAUUCACUGUGUAGCUCGACUGCCCGAGUCCUCCCAGGGUUAUCCUGUCGGCUGCAGGCUCAUGUUUUUUGUUGGCGUGUGAUUGGAGCAGCUGCUCCGGUCAUGUCGUGCGGCGUUUGCCCACAAGGCUGCGGCAACAGCACGGCGGCUCCGGCUAGGACACGCCACGGCUCCGGCUGGGAUGCGCAGCGAGCGACUUGAAUUCUUGGGAAGUGGAGUAUCGGCCGAGAAAGAAAUCAAAACAACCUGGCGCAGGAACGCAAGCGAUCAAGAUGUGCAAAAUGCCUCAUAGGUUAUGUUGUUGUUUGAAAUAUGCUAGUUGGUCAUCUAUUUAUUUACUUGGCUGGAAUCUUUUUCUUAUCCGAGUCCUAUAAUUUUAUUUA